rnacentral:rRNA from 1 species
ACAGCGGCGCACGGGUGAGUAACACGUGAGUAAUCUGCCCUGAAGUGGGGAAUAAGCACCGGGAAACCGGUGCUAAUACCGUAUACGAUCACAGAGUCUGCGGAUUUCGUGAUGAAAGGAGCAACUUCGCUUUAGUGAGGAGCCCGCG